rnacentral:rRNA from 1 species
AUGAAGCUCUGGGCCACCAACGAGGUCCGCGCCAAGUCCAAGUUCUGGUACUUCCUGAGGAAGCUCAAGAAGGUGAAGAAGGCCAACGGCCAGCUGCUCGCCAUCAACGAGGUAUAUCACUUCUCUCCAGUUGCCAUGAUCCGUGGAUGCAACUUUAACUGUGCUGGCUGAGUUAGAAAAUGUCAAUUAAGUGUAACCAUGAGCUUUGUUUGUUCUUAUACUCUUUGUAUGUUCCUGGUCGCCACCACCGACUGCGAGCGGGGGUCCUGGUCCUCUGCCUCGUCAUCCUCGGCGGCAGCAUCGCGGCUUGGCGCCAUCGCCGUGCCCUGCGUCAACGUCACAAUCAGCUUCACGGAUCGCCGUCUUGACGAGGUUGGUCGAAGAGGGCCGGAGUUCAUGCCGUUCCUGUUGUCCCUGUUCGUGUUCCUCUUCGGCACCUCCUGGUUCAUCUUCGACCUCAUCCUGUUGAAAAUGGGACUUGGAAUAAUAUGCAAGUUUCAUCUUUUCUAUUGCAGCGAGUGGGUCGGUUAUGCACUGGCAGCAUCCUUGCUACUAGCGGUGGGUGCGAUGGUCUGGGCCAAGCAGAGAAAGAUAGGUGAGAUAUGCUCAAUGGUGAUCAUCGACAAGUCCUCGGACAAGAUGACGAUGGAGAGUAUAGUGGAGGCACAGCACAUCAUGAAGAAGGUGCACGAGUAUGUCAAGACGACGAACGUCAUGAUCCUCAGGCUAUGGUCCAUUAUUCUAGCCCGGUCACCAAAGGUAUAUAUCAUUGCACACUAG